UACGUAGGUGGCAAGCGUUGUCCGGAAUUAUUGGGCGUAAAGCGCGCGCAGGCGGUCCUUUAAGUCUGAUGUGAAAGCCCACGGCUCAACCGUGGAGGGUCAUUGGAAACUGGGGGACUUGAGUACAGAAGAGAAGAGUGGAAUUCCACGUGUAGCGGUGAAAUGCGUAGAGAUGUGGAGGAACACCAGUGGCGAAGGCGACUCUUUGGUCUGCAACUGACGCUGAGGCGCGAAAGCGUGGGGAGCAAACAGG
rnacentral:rRNA from 1 species